rnacentral:rRNA from 1 species
CGGGCUAAACCCGCGUACAUGCCACCGGGGCAUCCCGGAGGCAGGAAAGGCUUCGGCCGGACAGGGAUGGGCAUGCGGCGCAUUAGGCAGUAGGCGGGGUAACGGCCACCCUAACCGACGAUGCGUAGGGGUUCUGAGAGGAAGGUCCCCCACACUGGUACUGAGACACGGACCAGACUCCUACGGGAGGCAGCAGUGAGGAAUAUUGGUCAAUGGUCGGGAGACUGAACCAGCCAAGCCGCGUGAGGGAGGAAGGUACAGAGUAUCGUAAACCUCUUUUGUCAGGGAACAAAGGCUGGGACGCGUCCCCGGAUGAGUGUACCUGAAGAAAAAGCAUCGGUUAACUCCGUGCCAGCAGCCGCGGUAAUACGGAGGAUGCGAGCGUUAUCCGGAUUUAUUGGGUUUAAAGGGUGCGCAGGCGGUCUGUUAAGUCAGCGGUCAAAGCCCGGGGCUCAACCCCGGCCCGCCGUUGAAACUGGCAGUCUCGAGUUGGAGAGAAGUAUGCGGAAUGCGCGGUGUAGCGGUGAAAUGCAUAGAUAUCGCGCAGAACUCCGAUUGCGAAGGCAGCAUGCCGGCUCCACACUGACGCUGAGGCACGAAAGCGUGGGUAUCGAACAGGAUUAGAUACCCUGGUAGUCCACGCAGUAAACGA